GGUUAAGCGACUAAGCGUACACGGUGGAUGCCCUGGCAGUCAGAGGCGAUGAAGGACGUGCUAAUCUGCGAUAAGCGUCGGUGAGGUGAUAUGAACCGUUAUAACCGGCGAUUUCCGAAUGGGGAAACCCAGUGUGUUUCGACACACUAUCAUUAACUGAAUCCAUAGGUUAAUGAGGCGAACCGGGGGAACUGAAACAUCUAAGUACCCCGAGGAAAAGAAAUCAACCGAGAUUCCCCCAGUAGCGGCGAGCGAACGGGGAGGAGCCCAGAGCCUGAAUCAGUGUGUGUGUUAGUGGAAGCGUCUGGAAAGGCGCGCGAUACAGGGUGACAGCCCCGUACACAAAAAUGCACACAUUGUGAGCUCGAUGAGUAGGGCGGGACACGUGGUAUCCUGUCUGAAUAUGGGGGGACCAUCCUCCAAGGCUAAAUACUCCUGACUGACCGAUAGUGAACCAGUACCGUGAGGGAAAGGCGAAAAGAACCCCGGCGAGGGGAGUGAAAAAGAACCUGAAACCGUGUACGUACAAGCAGUGGGAGCCUCUUAAUGGGGUGACUGCGUACCUUUUGUAUAAUGGGUCAGCGACUUAUAUUCUGUAGCAAGGUUAACCGAAUAGGGGAGCCGAAGGGAAACCGAGUCUUAACUGGGCGUUAAGUUGCAGGGUAUAGACCCGAAACCCGGUGAUCUAGCCAUGGGCAGGUUGAAGGUUGGGUAACACUAACUGGAGGACCGAACCGACUAAUGUUGAAAAAUUAGCGGAUGACUUGUGGCUGGGGGUGAAAGGCCAAUCAAACCGGGAGAUAGCUGGUUCUCCCCGAAAGCUAUUUAGGUAGCGCCUCGUGAAUUCAUCUCCGGGGGUAGAGCACUGUUUCGGCAAGGGGGUCAUCCCGACUUACCAACCCGAUGCAAACUGCGAAUACCGGAGAAUGUUAUCACGGGAGACACACGGCGGGUGCUAACGUCCGUCGUGAAGAGGGAAACAACCCAGACCGCCAGCUAAGGUCCCAAAGUCAUGGUUAAGUGGGAAACGAUGUGGGAAGGCCCAGACAGCCAGGAUGUUGGCUUAGAAGCAGCCAUCAUUUAAAGAAAGCGUAAUAGCUCACUGGUCGAGUCGGCCUGCGCGGAAGAUGUAACGGGGCUAAACCAUGCACCGAAGCUGCGGCAGCGACACUAUGUGUUGUUGGGUAGGGGAGCGUUCUGUAAGCCUGUGAAGGUGGCCUGUGAGGGUUGCUGGAGGUAUCAGAAGUGCGAAUGCUGACAUAAGUAACGAUAAAGCGGGUGAAAAGCCCGCUCGCCGGAAGACCAAGGGUUCCUGUCCAACGUUAAUCGGGGCAGGGUGAGUCGACCCCUAAGGCGAGGCCGAAAGGCGUAGUCGAUGGGAAACAGGUUAAUAUUCCUGUACUUGGUGUUACUGCGAAGGGGGGACGGAGAAGGCUAUGUUGGCCGGGCGACGGUUGUC
rnacentral:rRNA from 1 species